CUUUGCUCCAGGAUCCCUACUCAUGGAGACCUCACAAAGGAGAAGUACAAAAGGACCAUCAGCGCUUCCUGCUUCUGCCGCCGCAAGGCCACGAAGAGCACCACCAGGGCUGCGCGACAGAUGGGGGCACACGGGCCGCUGAGCCGGCAGGGCCAGGGCGCCUGUCUCCACGCUGAACCACCCACCCAACAGGCCAUAGAGGCAGUGUGGCCCAGGGGGCUGCAAGCCCUAGUUUUGACAUCUGGCAAAUCUUACUUUGAAGCCUGACUUCGCCCCUUACUCGCUGUGUGACCAUGGGAAGUUGCUUAACUUCUCUGAACCCUUGGCUUACUUGUGUGGAAAACAGACUUACCUCUUAGGGUUGUUGACAAGAUAAAACGAAAGACCACAAGUGAUGUACCCAGCACCAUCCUUGGCACAGAGUAGGGGCUCAAUAAAUAAUUUUUAUGGCUUGUU